rnacentral:rRNA from 1 species
UACGUAGGUGGCAAGCGUUGUCCGGAUUUACUGGGCGUAAAGCGCGCGCAGGCGGCCGGCCAAGUCCGAUGUGAAAGCUUCCGGCUUAACUGGAAAACGGCAUCGGAUACUGGUCGGCUAGAAGGUGGGAGAGGGUAGCGGAAUUCCCGGUGUAGUGGUGAAAUGCGUAGAUAUCGGGAGGAACACCAGUGGCGAAAGCGGCUACCUGGCCCACUCUUGACGCUGAGGCGCGAAAGCUAGGGGAGCGAACGGG